GACGAACGCUGGCGGCGUGCUUAACACAUGCAAGUCGAACGAGAAUCUACUGAAAGAGUUUUCGGACAAUGGAAGUAGAGGAAAGUGGCGGACGGGUGAGUAACGCGUGAGGAACCUGCCUUGAAGAGGGGGACAACAGUUGGAAACGACUGCUAAUACCGCAUGAAGCAUAGGGGUCGCAUGAUUCUUAUGCCAAAGAUUUAUCGCUUCAAGAUGGCCUCGCGUCUGAUUAGCUGGUUGGCGGGGUAACGGCCCACCAAGGCGACGAUCAGUAGCCGGACUGAGAGGUUGAACGGCCACAUUGGGACUGAGAUACGGCCCAGACUCCUACGGGAGGCAGCAGUGGGGAAUAUUGGGCAAUGGGCGCAAGCCUGACCCAGCAACGCCGCGGGAAGGAAGAAGGCUUUCGGGUUGUAAACUUCUUUUAAGAGGGAAGAGCAGAAGACGGUACCUCUAGAAUAAGCCACGGCUAACUACGUG
rnacentral:rRNA from 1 species